CCAGCUGAACAGAAUCUAUUUACUUGGCAUGACAUGCCAGGAUUUUUGUUAGCUCUCUCUCUGUGCUCCCCAACCCCAUGGCUGCCCUGUCGUCUGCUCUCUGGCACAUCAUCCUCUGGCCAUGCCCAUGAAGUCCCCCUCUCCACAUGCCUCAGAACCCUUUAAGAAGGUGGGAGCAGGCCCCCCACGUAUACCCACACCCAGAUCAAGCACCCAGCACUCAGAUCCUGCACCUAGGUUCUUGUUUCCAAUUCCAUUGGCCAAGGCUCCUUGAAGAAGUGGCCGAUUGCACGGAAGAGUCCGGAGCAUUAGCAGGCGUUCACGGUGCCAGAAAGUAAGGC